UAUAAGCAUGUUCUGAGGUCACCAUGUAUU
rnacentral:piRNA from 1 species